AUACGAAGGGGGCUAGCGUUGUUCGGAAUUACUGGGCGUAAAGCGCAUGUAGGCGGACAUUUAAGUCAGGGGUGAAAUCCCGGGGCUCAACCUCGGAACUGCCUUUGAUACUGGGUGUCUAGAGUGUGGAAGAGGUAAGUGGAAUUCCGAGUGUAGAGGUGAAAUUCGUAGAUAUUCGGAGGAACACCAGUGGCGAAGGCGGCCUGCUGGACAUUAACUGACGCUGAGGCGCGAAAGCGUGGGGAGC
rnacentral:rRNA from 1 species